rnacentral:rRNA from 1 species
GAUGAACGCUGGCGGCGUGCCUAAUACAUGCAAGUCGAGCGAACAGACGAGGAGCUUGCUCCUCUGACGUUAGCUGCGGACGGGUGAGUAACACGUGGAUAACCUACCUAUAAGACUGGGAUAACUUCGGGAAACCGGAGCUAAUACCGGAUAAUAUAUUGAACCGCAUGGUUCAAUAGUGAAAGACGGUUUUGCUGUCACUUAUAGAUGGAUCCGCGCCGCAUUAGCUAGUUGGUAAGGUAACGGCUUACCAAGGCAACGAUGCGUAGCCGACCUGAGAGGGUGAUCGGCCAAACGGGAACUGAGACACGGUCCAGACUCCUACGGGAGGCAGCAGUAGGGAAUCUUCCGCAAUGGGCGAAAGCCUGACGGAGCAACGCCGCGUGAGUGAUGAAGGUCUUCGGAUCGUAAAACUCUGUUAUUAGGGAAGAACAAAUGUGUAAGUAACUAUGCACGUCUUGACGGUACCUAAUCAGAAAGCCACGGCUAACUACGUG